ACCAGACGAUGCGGUUACCGCGGCUGCUGGCACGGAGUUAGCCGGUGCUUCUUCUGUGAGUGAUGUCCUUCCUGCCGGCUAUUAACCCGCAGGCCUUCUUCCUCACUGAAAGUGCUUUACAACCCGAAGGCCUUCUUCACACACGCGGCAUGGCUGGAUCAGGGUUGCCCCCAUUGUCCAAUAUUCCCCACUGCUGCCUCCCGUAGGAGUCUGGGCCGUGUCUCAGUCCCAGUGUGGCUGAUCAUCCUCUCAGACCAGCUACGGAUCGUCGCCUUGGUGAGCCGUUACCUCACCAACCAGCUAAUCCGACAUAGGCUCAUCCGAUAGCGCGAGGCCCGAAGGUCCCCCGCUUUCCCCCGUAGGGCGUAUGCGGUAUUAGCCUGGGUUUCCCCAGGUUAUCCCCACUACCGGGCAGAUUCCUAUGCAUUACUCACCCGUCCGCCGCUCGCCACCAGGGAGCAAGCUCCCCGUGCUGCCGCUCGACUUGCAUGUGUUAGGCCUGCCGCCAGCGUUCAAU
rnacentral:rRNA from 1 species